rnacentral:misc_RNA from 1 species
UCUCCGUUGGUGAACCAGCGGAGGGAUCAUUACCGAGUGCAAACUCAUAACCCUUUGUGAACCUAUAUCAGUUGCUUCGGCGGCUCGCUCUCGGGCGAGCCCGCCGGUAAUAUCAGUAUCUCUGUUUGAACCCGACGAUACUUCUGAGUGUUCUUAGCGAACAGUUAAAACUUUUAACAACGGAUCUCUUGGCUCUA